UGAUAAUGUAUGGAAACACCAGAGUACUUUGGAAACGUUACAUAGACGAUGUUCUGGUCAUCUGGAAAGGUACCAAGGAGCUUUUUUUCCGAAUUUGUGGAUCAUCUUAAUUGUAAUUAUCCGAAUUUGAAAUUCACACAGGAAAUAGGGGACGCUAUUCUAAAUUUCCUGGAUUGUACUCUCUCUAUUAAUGCCGCUAAAACUAUUGAGACCACACUGUUUCGAAAACCCACCGGCACUGACAACAUGCUGCGGCGGGAUAGUUACCAUCCCUUGUGUCAGCUCUCUUACACUUACCUUGGAGGUCCACUGAUCUGCCCACGCCGGGAUUCGGCGGACCGCCACCAGGUCCAGACUGGCCCACCGGGAUACUGGGAAAUUUCCUGGUGGGACGGGGCACUUGGGGCCGCACAGUGUAGAAUUACCCCCCCUCCCAACCAGUAAACACACUCAUGUCUGGGGCUUGAUAAGCUGAGGAGUGAAGGUCCCCUCUCAGCUCUAGAUUGGCACUGUACUUUAUCCACUUACGAGCAGCAAGCACUCCAAAUUGAACUUUCAAUGCUGCUUGCGACUGAGACAUAAGGAGCAGGGGAGGGAGGUAGUCCUGGUGCCUGUCUGACAGCCUUCACACACGGGAAGUAUGUGGCCCGGUAAUCAGGCACAGCAGGGCAGCCCACGCGGGUCUUUUGAGUUUUGCUUCCUGUGUGCAAACUGCUGUCAGGCUGGGAGAGGAGUUAGCAGGGGACCAGACAAAGCUGCAGGCAGGCUGCUGGGAAUGAGCUUCCCUGUAUUUUAUCUUUCAUUGGCUUGCUAUCAGAUCAGGACCUUUAACCCACAAUGUACAAUUUACCUCUGUGCUUCGGUUUCCCCCUUCUGCUGGAUGGACGUUUUCAGCCAGUAGCUGAGCACAGAUCAAGGAGCAAUGUGGGCUCAGUGAGCAGUGACACCCAGGUAUUUUAUGUUCAUGUUUACUGAUUCUUAGGG